CAGAAGUAAAACAGGAAAUGACAAACUUUCACAAUAGAAUUUUACUUCUGGGCAACUGAGAUUAUCUCUGUGGUAAUGGGAUUUGUCUAGUUCUAGUUGCAGACGCCUACGCGGACAGGAGUGACAUUGGGAGACAGAUUCCAUUUCAAGAUGGCCACUGUAUCUCCCUGGCGAGAGAGACUACUGACUGUGUAGCUGCUCCACCAGUAUUGUCUUGUCUGAGCAGCACCUGUUGCCAUGGGCCCACCUCUCCUCCCCGUGUCAUCGAUGGCCAUCUGGCGUACUCGGUGAGACGCCUCCUGAGUGUUCGCCCUCCUGGUUUAGACCCUAGACUGUCCUACCUCUGAGCCUGCCUGCCUGACCCUGAGCCUGCCUGCCCGACCUGUAC
rnacentral:lncRNA from 1 species